AUGUAAGUUGCCUAGUGGUAUGAUCCUUGCCUAAUGAUCAACUAGUUGCUGGUUCAAGUCCUGCUGCAGAUG